rnacentral:lncRNA from 10 species
GUGCAUUUUCUGAGUGUGAAGAGGAUUUGGGUAGGCAAGACUAGAGAACAGCAGGAAGUCAUUGCCUAUUAAAUUUUUAUUUCCAGCCAUUCACUGAUGUAUUGGUAAGAGGACAGGAGUCCUGGGGAAAGACUGCCUCAUUUACACUCCAAAGACUUGGGUUCUGAUCUCCAUGUCGUGGCUUAUCAUAGUGUAAGCCAGUUAUGUACCUCUAGAAAUGGAAGUUUCUGCUGUUUAUAAACUGGAAAUAAUGAUACAUGUCCUGACUCCUAUUGGGUUGUUGCAAAGGAAUCAAUUGAAAUAAGACAAGACUUUCUGAAGGCACUUUGCCAACUUUCAGAACUGUAAAGAUUAAGGGACUGCUACUAUGUGCUGCUCAGGAAAUAACAGGCACCUGGGAAAACCCACGAAGUAAGGUUUUGUAAGAAGUUGCUCUGCUCCCUGGGAGAAAACGCGGAGCUCAACACUGCCAAGAGGAACAAGUCUGGGAAAUUACGACAUGAGGGCCCUUGUGAAUUGAUGAAUAUGAAGACACUAAGAAAGCAGAAAUAGAACUGAGAAGAAUGAAAUAACUGUCUCUACCUUUCUCGAAUUGUCUAAUAUGGAAAGAAUGAAAGACAGCUAAUAAGCAACUCUCUGCAAGAAGACAUAUGGCUUAGGUUCUGCUGAGCUAUUGGUGAUUUGAUUCCAUGCAUAUGUAUUCACUACUGAAUCUACUUGGAGAGAGUCAAACACAGAAUCCCUUUGAAUUUAAUGGCCAUUCCAGGUGAUUUGAACAGCCAAAUAAGAAACAGGUCCUCUUCAAUGUACAAUCUGCCAAGUAUGAAGUCUGAAUGACCAUCAUUAUUAUGUAUUUAAUGUGCAUAGAAAAUCUAUCUGCAACCUUCCAGAGUGUACCAGAAGUUUGGAAUGUACAUUAUUAUUGGCUCCAUCUCAAACCACUCAUAAAUCAAAGAAAAUAGCAGUUCCAGAGGAAUCAUCAUAGAGGCUUCUAGGCCCCCAUGCUGUGUGAACCUGGUGAGAAAGGGAAGUCUGCUCUCACUGGACACUGGAACUGUUUGUCUCUGUCUCUGCUGUACUUUCCCUGCCUCUACCUCACUUAGUAAAGAAAUCAUCUUUGCUUGAUAACUAAAACAACCAAUAAGGCUGAGAAAGGGGAAAACCCACAUCUGGAUUUAAAUACAAGGUAUUGGGCCAGCUGCUGGGGAUUAAACUUUGAACAAAACAGAUAGAAUCUAUGUCCUCAUGGGAGUGGCUAAUGGGAGAGUCGGAACAAAAAAAUAGCCAAGGAUAAUCCAGCAAAUGAUUUGGUGAAUGCUAUCAAAGAGAGAAAUACACAUGCUCUGGGAACACCAAACAGAGUCUCCCUCUCUGACCCAGGCUGGAGUGCCGUGGUAUGAUCUCGGCUCACUGCAACUUCUGCCUCCCAGCUUCAAGCAAUUCUCCUGUCUUAGCUUCCCAAGUAGCUGGGAUUACAGGCGUGCACCACCACACCAGGCUAAUUUUGUAUUUUUAGUAGAGACGGGGUUUUGCCAUGUUGGCCAGGCUGGUCUCGAACCCCUGACCUCAGGUGAUCUGCCCACCUCAACCUCCCAAAGUGCUGGGAUUACAGGUGUGAGCCACUGCAUCUGGCCUCAUAUAUUUUACUAUAACAAAUCAGUGUAGGCCAAAUAAAGUUAGAAAUGGAAGCUAAUGGAAAUAAAGAAUAGGCUUUCCUGUUAGUAUCUAUAGGUGUGUGUGUGUGUGUUCGUUAUUUAGGGAAAGAAACAGGGAACUUGGGGCAUAUAAUAUUUAUGUUCCCUUAGCUUAGGCAUAUAUGGUAUAUUUAGUUACUUAAUUAAUUUUUUAUUUAGAAGUUAUGUAUAGAGCAUUUUUCCUAGGCCAGUGGGGGAUUAAACCAGAAAUAUAAGAAGUGUCUGCCUUCUGGAAGCUUGUGAUCUAGUUAGGGGUAUCACAAGUGCACAGCGUUCACCAGUGGCAGAGAAGCAUGUGAUGAGUACCCAGAGCUUAUAUUGAGAAUAAGGUAUACAAGAAUUUAGAGGAGGCCAAUGUUGAUUUUCACCAAGAGUAUGGGACAGAGAGACAAGACAGGGUUGGUCAUCUAGUUCUGUGCACUGAAUAUAAUUUUGCAGGUUUAGGAGUGUUUGAAAACUACAAGGAAGAUAGAAUCUUGGUCUUGUUCUCCAGCAUGCCCUUUCUUGAACUCACCAGGGUAAUGCUGCAUCUUUUCAGAAAUGCCUCUGGCUUCUCAAAGCAACUUUCAUCCUGGAGAGGAACAAUUAGUCUUUGUCUUUCAUUAGUAAAAGAUUUAACGGCUCAGAAGGAGAAGCUAGUGGUGACUUUUCAAUCACCCCUUCUACCUCCCAG